rnacentral:lncRNA from 1 species
AGAGAUUAAGAUGUCGUGUUCUGUAUACUGCUCUCCUCCUAUUGAUCAGACUAGUAAUUCUGGUUACAUCUCCAGUUACACUUGUGUAGUUUUGAGCUUCCCUUUGGAUGGUCAAAUUGCACUGAGUUAUUUUGUUGGCUAUGGGACUUUUACUAAAUGUUUUCGUGCCCAAUUUUCCUUAUUUUAGAAUGGCAUUCAAAUUAUGUAAUAAAUAUGUCGUCAAAUUAGGUGUAGGAUUCUCGCAAUACAAGUUUAUCUACAUCCUUUUAUGUUUUGAAUCUCAUUUGAAAGGUCGCCCAGCUAAAAUUCCUCAUUAAUUAGGGUUUGUUAGCACAUGAUUUUGAUACAUAUAUAUAUAUAUACACACAUAUAUAUAUAUAUACAUAUAUA